CUAGUGAAUUUCAGGACACAAUGAUUAAAUUCUUCAAGUGUUUAUGAAAAUGACCAACAUCUGAAUGCAGUGGCGACGUUAGGGUCUGGCCAGGGUGGGCACUUGCCCAGGCUCGGGCCCAAUAAUUUUUUGAAGCCCAUAUGUCUGGAAAAAAAGGAUAAUCAUUUUCAGAAAGAGACAAACUAAAGGAAAAGGGUUUGCAGAGAAAGGGUUUCAUCUCUUACUCCCUCCGACGGCGGCGCUUACCACUCCGUCUCUUACUCCCUCCGACGGUGGCGCUUACCACUCUAUCUCUUACUCCUUCCGUCGGCGGCUCAUUAUAUUCACGUUUCAAUUUUCAUCUUCCUUCCUUCUCUCCAACCCAACUUUUUCCCAAUUCUUAUUCAAUUCAAUUUCUCUCCUUUUACCCAUAUUCACGUUUUCUCCCAAAAAAAACCAAUCAGCAAAAAUACAAUUUUUUUCUUGUUUGACUUUGUUGUCUGAAUCGCUUAUCGCAGAACACGGUCCAGGAAUCUCAGAAAUGAAGUGGUUUAUUGGAUAGAUUUUAAUGUGUGUGAAACUUGCAGCUUGAUGCAUGGUAGUUGGUUAUGAAUGUUUGAUUGAGUUAUGUAUAUGUAGGGAUUGGUUUUGGGUAUAAAGGGGCUGUUUUGAAUGAUUCUCAA